UACAGAGGUCCCAAGCGUUGUUCGGAUUCAUUGGGCGUAAAGGGUGUGUAGGUGGCGCCGUAAGUCGGGUGUGAAAUCUCGGGGCUUAACUCCGAAACUGCAUUCGAUACUGCCGUGCUUGAGGACUGGAGAGGAGACUGGAAUUUACGGUGUAGCAGUGAAAUGCGUAGAUAUCGUAAGGAAGACCAGUGGCGAAGGCGGGUCUCUGGACAGUUCCUGACACUGAGGCACGAAGGCCAGGGGAGCAAACGGG
rnacentral:rRNA from 1 species